UACGUAGGGGGCAAGCGUUGUCCGGAUUUAUUGGGCGUAAAGAGCGUGUAGGCGGCCUGGAAGGUCAGCUGUGAAAACUCGAGGCUUAACCUCGAGAUGUCGGCGGAAACCAUCUGGCUAGAGUCCGGAAGAGGAGAGUGGAAUUCCUGGUGUAGCGGUGAAAUGCGCAGAUAUCAGGAAGAACACCUAUGGCGAAAGCAGCUCUCUGGGACGGUACUGACGCUGAGACGCGAAAGCGUGGGGAGCGAACAGG
rnacentral:rRNA from 1 species